rnacentral:rRNA from 1 species
UACAGAGGGGGCAAGCGUUGUUCGGAAUUACUGGGCGUAAAGGGCGCGUAGGCGGCCUGCUAAGUCGAACGUGAAAUCCCUGGGCUCAACCCAGGAACUGCGUCCGAUACUGGUUGGCUUGAAUCCGGGAGAGGGACGUGGAAUUCCAGGUGUAGCGGUGAAAUGCGUAGAUAUCUGGAGGAACACCGGUGGCGAAGGCGGCGUCCUGGACCGGUAUUGACGCUGAGGCGCGAAAGCCAGGGGAGCAAACGGG